CAAAAAUUAACCCAUGCAUG
rnacentral:misc_RNA from 1 species